CUCGCUAUAGCUCAGUGGUAGAACGCCCGCCCUGGACUCAUCUUCAGAGACGCGGAGGUCGGAGGCUCGAUUCCUCCUGGUGAUG